CUCCUCCUCCUCUUCCUCAGCAGCUACUGCAGCAGCAGCAUCCCGGUGCCUCCCGGAUCCAUGAAGAACUCCCUCCCGCACGGCUCCCUCCCCGCCGCGAUGGGCCGCAAGCCUUCCACCGCGUUGCUGUGUUGAUACCGAGAUAUUCCACUUAUUCAAAUAUGAAUCAUGCAUUUGAUAUUUCUGGUCACUUUGCUCGUCAGCGUCCUCUCGCCCUGGCUUCAUCCAUCUCUAGCGUCAUCCGAUUCUCAAGGAGUAGAGGACAAGGUUGAGAGGGAUGCGGUGCCCGUGCUGCUGAAGCAACAGGCGACUGCAGCACCUGCCACAGACAACACAACCCGCCAUGCAGCAGAGCAUGAGAUCACCUACCCCUCGCGGCUGAUCUACUACCUGAACGAGGACUCGGAGAGCACCUACCAUGACCUGGACACGCGAGUCCAGAGCCAGGCCGCGGAGGGCCAGGCAGUCCACCUUGCCCAGGCCAGUUUCCAGUUAGAGGCGUUUGGCUCCAGAUUUGUCCUGGAUCUAAAGUUGAACAACGGCUUGCUGUCUUCAGAUUAUGUUGAGAUCCAUUAUGAAGGGGGCAAACCUGUUCUAUCAAAGGGCGGUGAGCACUGUUACUACCACGGCCAGUUGAGAGGGAACGAUAACUCCCACGUGGCCUUAUCUACCUGCAACGGGCUGCACGGGAUGUUUGACGAUGGAGUCUAUGUGUAUCUAAUUGAGCCCUUGGAACAGACUCAUUCGAUCGAUACAGCUGCAAGGCCUCACAGUUUAAGAAGAGCAGCCUCCCUUCACUGGAACAAUGAUCCAGAGGAGCAGGAUGAGGAGGGGCAUCUCUUCUCGGAGCUCGAUGACUUGUCCUGGCUGAAGCGCAGGAAAAAGCGAGCUAUGCCUCGCAGUGUGUUUGAAGAGAUGAAAUAUUUAGAGAUCAUGAUUGUCAGUGACCACAGUAUGUAUAAACGACACAAGACCAAGCAGCACACGAGGAAUUUUGCCAAGUCUGUGGUGAAUCUCGUGGAUGCUAUCUUCAAAGAGCAGCUGCACACACGUGUGGUGCUGGUUGCAGUGGAGAUCUGGACCGACAAGGAUCAGAUCCCCGUCAGCGUGAGGCCGCUGGAGAUGCUGCGGGAUUUCUCCAAGUACCGGCAGCAGAGCAUCAAGCAUCACGCCGACUCUGUGCACCUUUUCUCGAAUGUGACUUUCCACUACCGCAGAAGCAGCGCGGCGUACUUCGGGGGCACGUGCUCUAUGAGCCGCGGGGUCGGCGUCAAUGAGUACGGCACCACCGGGUCCAUGGCAGUGUCUCUGUGCCAGAGCCUGGCGCAGAAUCUGGGCAUCCAGUGGGACCCAGCAUCCAGGAGAAAGGAAUGUGGUUGUGCUGACACGUGGACGGGCUGCAUAAUGGAGGAUACUGGUGUCCAACACCCGCGGCGAUUCUCCAAAUGCAGCAUCUCGGACUACAAGGAGUUCCUCUUGAAAGGAGGAGGCUCUUGUCUGUUUAACAGGCCGACCAAGCUGUUCGAGACGACAGAGUGUGGGAAUGGAUUUGUGGAGGUGGGAGAGGAGUGUGACUGCGGAGGGAGAUCGGAGUGCUACAAGGAAUGCUGCAAGAAGUGUUCCCUCUCCAACGGGGCGCACUGCAGCGACGGCCCCUGCUGCAAUAACACAUGUCUGUUCUAUCCACGAGGUUACAGUUGCCGCUACGCUGUGAACGACUGUGAUAUCUCAGAGACCUGCUCUGGAGACUCUGGACAGUGCCCUCCCAACCUACAUAAACAGGAUGGUUACCUCUGCCAGGUCAACCAGGGUCGCUGCUACAAUGGGGAGUGCAAGACCAGAGAGAACCAGUGUAAAUACAUCUGGGGUUCAAAGGCCGGAGGCUCGGAGAAGUUCUGCUACGAGAAGCUCAACACGGAGGGCUCAGAGAAGGGCAACUGUGGGAGAGAUGGAGAGAAAUGGACCCAGUGUAGCAAACAUGACGUGUUCUGCGGUUACCUUUUGUGUGCGAACAUUGGCCGCAACCCACGCAUCGGAAGUAUGAAAGGGGAAUUAACCACCAUUUUCUUUAACCAUAAAAAUGUGCAGAUAGAUUGCAGUGGUGGCCACGUCCUUUUGGACGAUGAUACUGAUUUAGGCUACGUGGAGGACGGGACUCCCUGUGGGCCGUCAAUGAUGUGCCUUGACCACAAGUGUCUGCCCAUCCAGUCACUCAACAUGAGCACCUGCCCCAGUGGACCUAAUGGACAGGUGUGCUCUGCCCAUGGGGUGUGCAACAAUGAAGCCACAUGCACGUGCGACACCACCUGGGCAGGGACAGACUGUAGCAUGCCUGACCCGCCUAAAGAGCCUGAGGCCACUCAGGACGAAGGGCCCAAGGUCACACGGCUAGAGCCGAGUCAGCACAGAUUCCUAGAUGUGUGAGUUUCUCAGGUGAACUCGAGACUUUACAUGUAACGUAGCAGCCGAAGGUGAAUAUGAAAGCCGUGUUGCAUUUGACUAGUUUGAUCCAGAUGAUGACAAAACACACUAUUCAGCUGUACACCUGAUGGUUUGCCUAUAGGGGGAGACGGGGAGGCUAAGGGGGCGGGAGUGUCACAGAGGGGAACCGUUUCACUUCAUCCUUGCCUCUGAAGCAGAAGCCUGCUGUUUCUUUUUGACAGGGUGGUAAUAAUUGCUCCUUUUCCCCUCUGCACAGUGAGCGUGGCCACUAACAGGCUGAUAGGGGCAGUAGCAGGGACCAUUCUGGCCCUGGGGGUGAUUUUUGGAGGCACAGGGUGGGGAAUAGAGUAAGCAUCUUUAACCCUUUCACAGCUCUUCCUCUCAUAGUGGUGCCUCAGUGUGCGGGCGGUCUCGUGAGCCGGCCUGAGCCCGUGUGUGCGUCCCGGUGGCUUUGUGUUUUUCUUGUGUGUUGGUGAUGACCAUAUAAUUGUCAUGUUAUUGGAUGUUUUCAAUGUUGUGUGAUUGAUUGAUGGAUUCCCCCUCCUGCCUCCUCCUCCUCCUCCUCUCCUGCCACUUCCUGUCGUUCCCCAUUACUACCAGCCUCUCUCUCAUCCUCCUUCCUCUUCUUCUUAUCCCGUUUCUUUCUCUUCCUCUUAGUCGUUAUGUGGUUGCUCCUGUGAUCCUCUCCUUUCUGGGGCAUGUGGGGCAUUUAGAUGGAAAACAGUCCUGAGAAGUGUCCAGUUAGUGACCUGGCUUGUAAGUCAGUGGUAGGCUGUGUGGUGACUGGGACCCCUAAAAACAUUUUUCCACUGCCACAUAUACACAGCACCUGCCGAUCUCUGCUUAAAUACACCUCUACAGUGAUGGAUACCCAGGGUCUAGCCUCCUGCACAGACUUAACAAACAGACCACUGAUAAUCCCUAUGUCAACUGACACCUGAUAAAUGUAAAUAAUCCCAGCGCCUCUAACUUCAUUAUCUUCUAGAUUAAAGGGGUCUGAAAAGCAUGCAAAAAACAUCUCUUCAGACUCAAGUCAUGUUACUGUGGUAGAAUACUUCUGGUUAUGUUUUCUGUUCCAUGUGAAAUCGUCAUUGUACAGUUACGUGUCAUUGAUACAGUAAGUGAGUGAAGAAACUCAUGUCUUUCUCCCCAUAACCUUUUACAGGUCCUAGUGCCACCAAUCUAAUAAUAGGCUCCAUCGCCGGAGCCAUCCUUGUGGCUGCCAUAGUGCUGGGGGGGACUGGAUGGGGCUUUAAAAAUGUGAAGAAGCGGCGGUACGACCCCAACGCCUCAGCCAUUUAACCCAGGGAGA